rnacentral:rRNA from 1 species
AGUUCGGAGAGUUUGAUCUUGGCUCAGGACGAACGCUGACGGUGUGCUUUAGACAUGCAAGUCGAACGAGAAAGCCCUUCGGGGUGAGUACAGUGGCGAACGGGUGAGUAACACGUGGGUAACCUACCCCUCGCAGGGGGAUAACCGGGGGAAACCCCGGCUAAUACCCCGUACGCUUGCCGGGCCGCAUGGUCCGGUAAGGAAAGGUAGCUUCGGCCAUCCGGCGAGGGAUGGGCCCGCGGUGCAUUAGCUAGUUGGUGGGGUAACGGCCCACCAAGGCUACGAUGCAUAGCUGGUCUGAGAGGAUGAUCAGCCACACUGGGACUGAGACACGGCCCAGACUCCUACGGGAGGCAGCAGUCGGGAAUCUUGCGCAAUGGGCGAAAGCCUGACGCAGCAACACCGUGUGAGCGACGAAGGCCUUCGGGUCGUAAAGCUCUGUUGUUGGGGACGAAGGGCGAAGGGUUAAUAGCCCCUAGCCUGACGGUACCCUUCGAGGAAGCCCCGGCUAACUACGUGCCAGCAGCCGCGGUAAUACGUAGGGGGCGAGCGUUGUCCGGAAUUAUUGGGCGUAAAGAGCGUGUAGGCGGUUCGGUAAGUCUGCCGUGAAAACCUGGGGCUCAACCCCAGGCGUGCGGUGGAAACUGCCGGGCUAGAGGAUGGUAG